AUUGAACGCUGGCGGCAGGCUUAACACAUGCAAGUCGAGCGGAGAUGAGGUGCUUGCACCUUAUCUUAGCGGCGGACGGGUGAGUAAUGCUUAGGAAUCUGCCUAUUAGUGGGGGACAACAUUCCGAAAGGAAUGCUAAUACCGCAUACGUCCUACGAGAGAAAGCAGGGGAUCUUCGGACCUUGCGCUAAUAGAUGAGCCUAAGUCGGAUUAGCUAGUUGGUGGGGUAAAGGCCUACCAAGGCGACGAUCUGUAGCGGGUCUGAGAGGAUGAUCCGCCACACUGGGACUGAGACACGGCCCAGACUCCUACGGGAGGCAGCAGUGGGGAAUAUUGGACAAUGGGCGGAAGCCUGAUCCAGCCAUGCCGCGUGUGUGAAGAAGGCCUUUUGGUUGUAAAGCACUUUAAGCGAGGAGGAGGCUACCUAGAUUAAUACUCUGGGAUAGUGGACGUUACUCGCAGAAUAAGCACCGGCUAACUCUGUGCCAGCAGCCGCCGCCGUAA
rnacentral:rRNA from 1 species